GCGGUGCUGCGGGGUGCGUCAGGAACAUUAUCCCCGGGGCCUUAUCGAUCCUUAAGGGAGCUGUCCCUGGUCUCGUCCGUGGACUUGGCCAAUACGGUUCCCACCUACGUUGUAGGUUCCCGGGAUCGACUUCCAACGGCCUUCGCGGCUCCGCG
rnacentral:other from 1 species